rnacentral:rRNA from 1 species
AUUGAACGCUGGCGGCAGGCUUAACACAUGCAAGUCGAGCGGUAACAGAGAGAAGCUUGCUUCUCUGCUGACGAGCGGCGGACGGGUGAGUAAUGCCUAGGAAUCUGCCUAGUAGUGGGGGAUAACUUGCCGAAAGGUAAGCUAAUACCGCAUACGUCCUACGGGAGAAAGGAGGGGACCUUCGGGCCUUUCGCUAUUAGAUGAGCCUAGGUCGGAUUAGUUAGUUGGUGAGGUAAUGGCUCACCAAGACCGCGAUCCGUAACUGGUCUGAGAGGAUGAUCAGUCACACUGGAACUGAGACACGGUCCAGACUCCUACGGGAGGUAGCAGUGGGGAAUAUUGGACAAUGGGGGGAACCCUGAUCCAGCCAUGCCGCGUGUGUGAAGAAGGUCUUAGGAUUGUAAAGCACUUUAAGUUGGGAGGAAGAGCAGUUAACUAAUAUUUGACUGUUUUGACGUUACCGACAGAAUAAGCACCGGCUAACUUCGUGUCAGCAGCCGCCGUAA